AGUGAACGCUGGCGGUAGGCCUAACACAUGCAAGUCGAACGGCAGCACAGUAAGAGCUUGCUCUUACGGGUGGCGAGUGGCGGACGGGUGAGGAAUACAUCGGAAUCUACUUUUUCGUGGGGGAUAACGUGGGGAAACUUACGCUAAUACCGCAUACGACCUACGGGUGAAAGCAGGGGAUCUUCGGACCUUGCGCGAUUGAAUGAGCCGAUGUCGGAUUAGCUAGUUGGCGGGGUAAAGGCCCACCAAGGCGACGAUCCGUAGCUGGUCUGAGAGGAUGGUCAGCCACACUGGAACUGAGACACGGUCCAGACUCCUACGGGAGGCAGCAGUGGGGAAUAUUGGACAAUGGGCGCAAGCCUGAUCCAGCCAUACCGCGUGGGUGAAGAAGGCCUUCGGGUUGUAAAGCCCUUUUGUUGGGAAAGAAAAGCAGCAGGUUAAUACCCCGCUGUUCUGACGGUACCCAAAGAAUAAGCACCGGCUAACUUCGUG
rnacentral:rRNA from 1 species